GACCACGAUUUGACUGAUGCAGUGGCAGC
rnacentral:sRNA from 1 species